GCCGCACAAUGACCACGCUCCCCUUUCAGCCCAGCUGAGACCCCUGGUGGCACCUGCACGAGAAGACAGAGGCCUGGGACGUGCCAUCGAUAAUUCUCCUGACAUCACAUGCCAGGACGCGUUCAGCACGCAUCUGUCUUAAUCUGAGUGAAACAAGGGAUCUGAACCGUGACUAAGGAAACACGGAAACAAUCAAUCCCAGUAAUUGCCUUUAUGGAGAACAAGGCCCUGCGAUUAUUCAUUAACACCCUCUCUGCUGUCUCCUCUCAAACUUCUCACUCCAUAACCGCUGCCCUUAUAUCCGGGUUCAGGUAGCACCAAGGAGCAGCUGCUCAUCUCAAAUGAAGACGCUGGAGGACUCAGAGCCCCAAAGCAGACAUGAGAACGUGGGGGGAUGCCCUGGCUGAGACCCUCUUAGACACGACAAGCCUUUAGAGGACUGGUGAGAACAUAGUCGAGGACCAGUGUGAAUUCAAGAACUGGCAGUUGGGAGCCAGUCGCUUAGGAAUUCUGGCAGUGAGUGGCAAAACCAGAGGACAGCCAAGCCUUUCUGACGCCAAAGCCUGUGCUGGGACCAUUUAUCUAUCUAGAAUUUGUGUGUUCAUUCUGUCAUUCAAUAACUAUUGAUUGAGCACCUACGAUGCGUUGGGUACUAUGCUCCUGCCCAGGGCAUGACAAAUCAUUUUCUUCCAUUUCUCUCACCACCUCUCUAUCCUUUGGCUAUUUGGAUUGAACCCAAAAACUCAACUCUUAACACAGCUCAGAAAAUCAUAACUAUUAGCCAGGUGUGGUGGCUCACACCUGUAAUCCCAACACUUUGGGAAGCCAAGGUGGGCGGAUCGCCUAAGGUCAGGAGUUCGAGACCAGCCUGGCCAACAUGGUGAAACCCCAUCUCUACCAAAAAUAAAAAAAUUAGCCGGGCGUGGUGGUGCACACCUGUAAUCCCAGCUACUUGGGAGGCUGAGGCAGGAGAAUUGCUUGAACCCGGUAGGUGAAAGUUUCUGUUGAGCCAAGAUUGUGCCACUGCACUCCAACCUGGGUGAUGGAGCGAGACUCCAUCUCAAAAAAAAAAAAAAAAAAAAAUCAUAAACUAUUUUCUUGUUGUGAUAGGUUGACCUGUUAGCUGCUUGGGAAAAUGAUCUAAAUGAAAAUACCACAACACAAUGAUAUUAUAGGUUCUGUCUUUUUUUCUUUCAGUCUAAGUAAUAACCCUAGAGGCUCUUAGGAGAAGAAGAAAUUUUAUCAAGCCACAGCGACUGCCCAACCCAGAUCUCUGUUGUGCAAAAUAGUUUGCACAUGUGCCUCUUCACUUUCAAGCUUCUCCAACAAGGAAUCAGGACACAGUCCAUGAGUAAAAGCCCCACCUUCCAUCGAUAACUACCAUCAUCUCUUUAAUAUCACGUUGCUAGAAACUGUUCUUUUAUUAUAGUGAACUAUCACCAACAAAGCAGUCAAGCUAUUUAAAAAUUACAAGCAAAGGCUGAUUACGUAAAGUGACUAUCAAGGCGAUUUCAAUUAGGAUUCACAUUCUUGAACAAAUGAGAACAUUCAAAUUAUUGCAUUAUAUAUAACGAUGCAAUAGCCUACAUUUAAAUAUUUCUGACUUGGAAUUAUUCCCCUUUUUAAUUAUUACAUUGAUAAGACAAGUAAUACAAGAGACAUUCCAAUUACUCCACUGAUCAUAGACAGAAUGUUUAAAAAUAAUUAAAUGGAACUUACUGUGUAUUCUGUUUCCACAUGUUCAUUUGAAGAAGAGAGGAAAGAAAAAAGAGACAAAAGAUGAUUUAGAUCAUGCUUAUAUGCAAUAUAAAAACCAC
rnacentral:lncRNA from 10 species